rnacentral:piRNA from 1 species
UAAGAGUUUGUUUGAACGAGAGCAUGAUCU